CAGUAGCCGCGGGAAUACGAAGGGGGCUAGCGUUGUUCGGAAUUACUGGGCGUAAAGCGCACGUAGGCGGAUAUUUAAGUCAGGGGUGAAAUCCCGCAGCUCAACUGCGGAACUGCCUUUGAUACUGGGUAUCUUGAGUAUGGAAGAGGUUAGUGGAAUUGCGAGUGUAGAGGUGAAAUUCGUAGUUAUUCGCAGGAACACCAGUGGCGAAGGCGGCUAACUGGUCCAUAACUGACGCUGAGGUGCGAAAGCGUGGGGAGCAAACAGGAUUAGAUACCCCCGUAGUCCCUGUCUCUUAUAC
rnacentral:rRNA from 1 species